UACGGGGGGAGCAAGCGUUGUUCGGAUUUACUGGGCGUAAAGGGCGCGUAGGCGGCGUGACAAGUCACUUGUGAAAUCUCCGGGCUUAACCCGGAGCGGCCAAGUGAUACUGUCGUGCUAGAGUGCGGAAGGGGCUACUGGAAUUCUCGGUGUAGCGGUGAAAUGCGUAGAUAUCUGGAGGAACACCGGUGGCGAAGGCGGCAUCCUGGACCGGCAUUGACGCUGAGGCGCGAAAGCCAGGGGAGCAAACGGG
rnacentral:rRNA from 1 species